rnacentral:SRP_RNA from 1 species
UUCCGGUCCCCUCGCAACGAUAGGUAGCAAACCCCGCCAGGCCCGGAAGGGAGCAACGGUAGUUAUCGACUCGUGUGCCGGGGUGUGGCUGGUCGGG